rnacentral:tRNA from 9 species
GCCCGUCUAGCUCAGUCGGUAGAGCGCCAGACUUUUAAUCUGGUGGUCGUGGGUUCGAGCCCCACGAUGGGCA